GACGAACGCUGGCGGCGUGCUUAACACAUGCAAGUCGAACGGAAAGGCCCUGCUUUUGUGGGGUGCUCGAGUGGCGAACGGGUGAGUAACACGUGAGUAACCUGCCCUUGACUUUGGGAUAACUUCAGGAAACUGGGGCUAAUACCGGAUAGGAGCUCCUGCUGCAUGGUGGGUGUUGGAAAGUUUCGGCGGUUGGGGAUGGACUCGCGGCUUAUCAGCUUGUUGGUGGGGUAGUGGCUUACCAAGGCUUUGACGGGUAGCCGGCCUGAGAGGGUGACCGGCCACAUUGGGACUGAGAUACGGCCCAGACUCCUACGGGAGGCAGCAGUGGGGAAUAUUGCACAAUGGGCGGAAGCCUGAUGCAGCAACGCCGCGUGCGGGAUGACGGCCUUCGGGUUGUAAACCGCUUUCGCCAGUGACGAAGCGUGAGUGACGGUAAUGGGUAAAGAAGCACCGGCUAACUACGUG
rnacentral:rRNA from 1 species